GCUGUAGUUCAGUGGGAGAGCAUCUGCUUUGCAGGCCAGAGGAUCCCAGGUUCAAUCCCCAGCAUCUCCA